rnacentral:rRNA from 1 species
AUUGAACGCUGGCGGCAUGCUUUACACAUGCAAGUCGAACGGCAGCGCGGGCUUCGGCCUGGCGGCGAGUGGCGAACGGGUGAGUAAUGCAUCGGAACGUGCCCAGUAGUGGGGGAUAGCCCGGCGAAAGCCGGAUUAAUACCGCAUACGACCUGAGGGUGAAAGCGGGGGACCGAAAGGCAUCGCGCUAUUGGAGCGGCCGAUGUCGGAUUAGCUAGUUGGUGGGGUAAAGGCUUACCAAGGCGACGAUCCGUAGCUGGUCUGAGAGGACGACCAGCCACACUGGGACUGAGACACGGCCCAGACUCCUACGGGAGGCAGCAGUGGGGAAUUUUGGACAAUGGGGGCAACCCUGAUCCAGCCAUGCCGCGUGCGGGAAGAAGGCCUUCGGGUUGUAAACCGCUUUUGUUCGGGAAGAAAUCCUCUGGGCUAAUACCCCGGGGGGAUGACGGUACCGGAAGAAUAAGCACCGGCUAACUACGUG